GCCGAGCACAGUGGCGCAGGCCUGUAAUCCCAGCGGCUCAGGAGGCUGAGGCAGGAGGAUCAAGAGUUCAAAGUCAGCCUCAGCAAAAUCAAGGCACUAAGCAACUCAGUGAGAUCCUGUCUCUA
rnacentral:sRNA from 1 species